rfam:Phaseolus vulgaris cultivar G19833 chromosome 3, whole genome shotgun sequence.
ACCCAAGUACAAAAUUACAAACUUCAAAGCAAGGCACACACUUUGCUACAUCAAAACUAGAAGGAUACCACUCUGGAAGAGCUAGAAUUCUAACCUUGUGCCUGAACCUAUGGUUCGGGGAACAGUCUCAGGAAGACAGUUUCUAUGGGGCGUAUGCCUCCCCAAAGGUAACGAAGGCAUGCAAAGGUUUCCUCGGGCCAGACGAAGAUUGACCCUCGAGUGCAAAGACAGAAGGGAGCUUGACUACAAGACCCACCCGUCGAGUAGGGACGAAAGUCAGCUUUAGUCAUCUGACGGUGUCGAGUGGAAGGGCCAUCGCUCAACGGAUAAAAGUUACUUUAGGGAUAAUAGGCUGAUCUUCCCCAAGAGCUCACAUCAAUGGGAAGGUUUGGCACCUCGAUGUCGGCUCUUCACCACCUGGGGCUGUAGUAUGUUCCAAGGGUUGGGUUGUUCGCCCAUUAAAGCGGUAUGUGAGCUGGGUUCAGAACAUCGUGAGACAGUUCGGUC